UCCCUGGAGGUCUAGUGAUUAGUCCACAGUGCUCUUACCACUGCGGCCCGGGUUCGAUUCCCAGCCAGGAAA
rnacentral:tRNA from 1 species